rnacentral:rRNA from 1 species
UACGUAGGGGGCAAGCGUUGUCCGGAAUCAUUGGGCGUAAAGAGCGUGUAGGCGGCCCGGUAAGUCCGCUGUGAAAGUCCAGGGCUCAACCCUGGGAUGCCGGUGGAUACUGUCGGGCCCGAGUCCGGAAGAGGAGUGUGGAAUUCCUGGUGUAGCGGUGAAAUGCGCAGAUAUCGGGAAGAACACCCGUGGCGAAGGCGGUUCUCUGGGACGGUACUGACGCUGAGACGCGAAAGCGUGGGGAGCGAACAGG